rnacentral:lncRNA from 1 species
UUUAUAUUAUUAAAUAUUAUUGAUAUGAUUGAAUAUUAGACAAAAUUAAAUAAAUGGUCUAUAUAGUUUACCAAAAGUCAUAAAUUCGGUCCCUACUAAUUUUUUUUGACAUAAAUGGUCAUUGUGGUUUGCAAAAUUUGCAUGGUUUGCUAAACUUGCAUGGAAGGUCCAUUUUAUUCACGUCGUCUAUUUUCAGCAGUUAAGGCCUAGCAUGUGAGGGUAAUUUGGUUUUUCAGGUAUAACAGGGACUAGAUUCGUAAUAUUUGAUAAACCACAAGAACCAUUUUUGUAAUUUGUCUUAAAAGGCAAGUCACCACACCAAUGAUAUUUCCAAAAUAGGGUAGUGUUACCACCACCCAUUACCCUCUCAAAAAGAUUUUUAAAGAGAAACUCCAAGAUUUUGGACUUUCUUAUUUAUUUUAAAGAUGUUUAACCAUAAUCCACAAAUGUUUUUUAGCAAUAGGAUUUCCAUCCACUAUAAGAAGGUUAUGGAUAACUUCAACAUAUUUACACCAAAGAUUGGUGUUACUAGUUUUUAACUUCCACCAAAGAUUGAUGUUACUAGUUGAAAGACAAUGUAUAUAUAUGAUACAAAACGACGUAGUAUGGUAAGUUUAGGUACUUAAGCUUAUACAUAUAUAUAUAUAUAUAUAUAUAUAUAUAUAUAUAGGGUAUAUCCUAAAUAUGGAAAGUAUUUUAACCCAAUGUGGGGCAAAUACAUAUAUAAUGAGAAAUAGUCAUCAACCCUUCAAAUCAGUAGCUUCCAAUCUCCUUUGUGCAGUUUCCUGUUGUACAUCCAACUUUAAGCAUCACACAACUCAACUAUAAAUCCAGAACNAAAUCAAUCAUUAGUUAUUACAUACACUAAUUGUAUACACACACACACACACACAUAUAUAUAUAUAUAUAUAUAUAUGUCAUUUAAAAUAUUUUUAUGUUGAUAUUUGAAAAUAUGGCAAUUGGGCAACUUCGACAGUUGAAAGGGCUUACUUGCUGUAUUUAUUAUUUCAUUGGACACUAUUUUAAUAAUAUUUUUAAAUAUAAAAAUAAAAAGUGAAAAAGUGUCAAACACCUCGAGAGGUAUCACUGUCUGUAGUGCUCAAUAAUACAAGAGAGCACGUUUAUCUAAUGGUCUUUUAUUAUUUUAUUAUUAUUUUUAAAUGCGUUGUAAUGUAUUUUUAUUUGGAUAAAACAUUGUAUUAGAAAACUUAUAAAAAAGAAUAUCAUAAAAAUAUUGUAAGAAAUUAUAAAAAAGAAAAUAUUAAAAAAUUUAUAAAAUAAAUUUUUUACAUUUAAACAUUUUUUUGUACAAAUUUGACUAUUUUAUCUGUUAAAUAUGUUUACAUAUUAAUAUUCACACGUGAGAUAGCAUGUGAUAAUGAUAAUGUUAAAAUAUAUACAAAAAAUUUGUCUAAAUAUUAACGAUAAGAUAAUUAAGUGAGGUUAUUUUCCCAUUUUUGCUCCAAAGACGGCUAUUAUUGUGCAUAAAAUUUGACGUCGUAUUUGGGGGUGAUCAUUGUCCAACACCAAAUUAAAUUUCCUUUUCAUUAUGUGGUAAUAUUAAAUUCACUAGAACUGCUUUAAGAUUAUCACAUAUAAUAAUGAAAUUGAUUUUUUAAUAUAAUAUUAUUGAAAUAAUUUUUAUUGUAAAAUUAUAGUUAGUUGUUGGAGUGCAAACUUUAUUUUGUGUUAAAAAGCCAUUAUUUUAGUGUUUUUAUAGUGUUUCAUGGUUGCAUUGGCUUUUAAAAAAAGAUAAUAAUUAAGGUUUAUUAUUUAUAUUAUUAAAUAUUAUUGAUAUUAUUGAAUAUUAGACAAAAUUAAAUAAAUGGUGUAUAUAAUUUACCAAAAGUCAUAAAUUUGGUCCCUACUAAUUUUUUUUUUGACAUAAAUGGUCCUUGUGGUUUGCAAAAUUUGCAUGGUUUGCUAAACUUGCAUGGAAGGUCCUUUUUAUUCACGUCGUCUAUUUUCAGCCGUUAAGGCCUAGCAUGUGAGGGUAAUUUGGUUUUUCAGGUAUAACAGAGACUAGAUUCGUGACAUUUGAUAAACCACAAGGACCAUUUUUGUAAUUUGUCUUAAAAAGCAAGUCACCACACCAAUGAUAUUUCCAAAAUAUGGUAGUGUUACCACGACCCAUUACCCUCUCAAAAAGAUUUUAAAGAGAAACUCCAAGAUUUUGGACUUUCUUAUUUAUUUUUAAGAUGUUUAACCAUAGUCCACAAAUGUUUUUUAGCAAUAGGAUUUCCAUCCACUAUAAGAAGGUUAUGGAUAACUUUAACAUAUUUACACCAAAGAUUGGUGUUACUAGUUUUUAACUUCCACCGCCACUUCACAAGCAAUGAUAAAUUAAGAGAGUUCAAACAACUCACACCACUAUUGCAUCUUUUUUCAAGGCAAGUGACCAAAUUCCACGGCACACAAUUUUUUUCAUUAUUUCAACCCCAAAUAAAAUACCUUCUAAUACUAUCAAGAAAAAUAAUAACUUUUUACGGGGUCUAAAUAAGAAAAAGUAAUAUAAAGGAAGGCUAAAAGACCGAAUUCACAAGAGUAAGUCUUCCCUCAAAAAAGAAGUUCCUAGCAAGACAAACAAACUCUUAAUCUACCAUACAAACUCUAUAAAGUUUACUCUUAUGAAUAUCUGCCUUUAAUCCAGAAGAAAGAAACACCUAAGAAGCCCUUUUAGAUUUAUAAAAUUUAGCUUGGAUCACUCCUCCAUGAAUAAGACGUCAUCGGUAUAAAUCAAGUGAAAUAAAGUCGGGUUAUCAUUAGGAAGAGAGACACCAUAAAAUUGAAGAUCAGUUGUCUCCAUAACAACAUGAAGUCCUUUCAUUGUGAUAAUGAAUAAAAAAGAUGAAAGCGGUUCGGCUUGCCUCACUCCUCUAUUACUAUGAACUUUCUUAUUAUUAACAUUGCCCCACUCCACUUCUCAUUGUCAACGUGUCUUAUUACUAUCUUACAUAUUCUUGUUUUACCCUUCAAUAUAAUCGAUUUUUCUUAUACCUUUCAUAAGAUUCUUUUGGUUGAUAUUUCCCAAAAUCUUAGCAAAGUUCUUUGUCGAUUUCAUAUAUCCUUAUGUCAUAAGAUUCUUUUGGUUGAUAUUUCCCAAAAACUUAGCAGAGUUCUUCGUCGAUUUCAUAUAUCCUUAUGUGUCGAACACCCGCUAAUAGUACUUCCAUAAAAGUUAUAUGCAUAUUGCUUUUGUAGGUUUUCUCUAGCAACACCACAUAUGUGUUGAACACCCCCUAAGACUACACACUUCACCAUGUCAAAAUCUACCAACUAAUCUAUCUUCUUGCAUGCUCGUGAAGUUGAUGACUCUAGAUUUUAACUUUAGAUUUGAGCAUUGGUGAUGCCUCACGCGUACCAACCACCUCCAUUGUGCAUAUUAUCAAUCUGAUUAUAUAUUAUUUAUCUACUGAAUCAAGACAAGGAGCUCGACAUCCACUUGAUCACACAACUUUCUCAUGUUUCCUUGGAGCAUCUCUUGCAUACCAUGUAUCUCUCAAAGUAAUGUUAGGAUUAAUGAUCAAUAAAUCACACAAACACAUAAUUAAAAAUAUGGGGAAAAAACAAAAACAGAAAAGUGUUCGUCAAACACAAACACAAGAGUGAUCGGCUAAUCCACGACGAACUAGAGAGCUUUUAUUAAUAACCGCCAAACACAAUUUUUAUAUAAGCUUACAUUUGUACAUAGGUGACCAAUAAUAACAACUUGUUGACCAAAAAUAACUUGUGUGCCAUAAAAUUGCUUGUGGAAUUGAUCCAUAAAGCCAUUACAUAACCAAUUGGUCGUGCAAUGCAGCCUAUACCACAACUUUUGGAUUAUGACAUCGAAAUGAAAUACCAACUACCCUUGAGAGUUUUAUUCCUAGGGAGCUAUCCAUGGUCCAUGUAGGGUGUGGUUCUUAUGCUUAGGUGGUGUUUUUUAGAGGCACUUAUUGAGCUAUAUUGUUUACAGGUUGUUAGACCAUUUUGCUAAAGAUUGUUUUUCAAAAGAUCAAGACAUAAAAAGAUAUGUAUGUCCUAUUCUUGUAGAAGAAAUGGAAAAAGUCUUCAAAAUCCCAUAACCUUCUAAGUCUAAGAAAACCAAUUUUAUUUUUCACGCUUUAUUCUUCGAUGAUUUUCUUCCACCUCCACCACCACCUCUACUCC